GACGAACGCUGGCGGCGUGCUUAACACAUGCAAGUCGAGCGAUGAAGUUUCUUCGGAAAUGGAUUAGCGGCGAACGGGUGAGGAACACGUGAAGAAUCUGCCCUCCACUUUGGGAUAACACAGGGAAACCUGUGCUAAUACCGAGUAUUGAAACAUAAGUGGCAUCACUGAGUUUUGAAAGAAUUUCGGUGGAGGAUGACUUCGUGGCCUAUCAGCUAGUUGGUGAGGUAAUGGCUCACCAAGGCAACGACGGGUAGCCGGCCUGAGAGGGCGACCGGCCACACUGGGACUGAGACACGGCCCAGACUCCUACGGGAGGCAGCAGUGGGGAAUAUUGGGCAAUGGAGGAAACUCUGACCCAGCGACGCCGCGUGCGGGAUGAAGGCCUUCGGGUUGUAAACCGCUUUCAGUAGGGAAGAAGCGAAAGUGACGGUACCUACAAAAGAAGCACCGGCUAACUAUGUGCCAGCCGCCGCGGUAA
rnacentral:rRNA from 1 species